UAUGUUCACUAUUUUAAAAUAUUUUGGUGUGUGUAAUUAGAUGUGCAGUAGCAAAAUACCCCAACUUUAGGCCCUGCUUUAUGGUUGAAUUUUUUUCUUCAAAAAAAACUUUUUCGGUAGUAAAAAUACUUCGGUUACAUCAUGCAUGUAUCUUAAAAAGAUGCAGAUUUUUCUCGCAGCGGUACGCUUUACGGGGAAAAAAAAUUUCUAGAUUUUCGAUAGUUUUUCUAAAAACUGACAAUUACUAACGUCGAUACAUCGGUUUUAUUAUCAUUGAUUUCU